AGCAGCCGCGGUAAUUCCAGCUCCAAUAGCGUAUAUUAAAGUUGUUGCAGUUAAAAAGCUCGUAGUUGAAUUUCGGGAUCAAUCUGUUGGUCGUGCCUUUGGUACGUACUAGCUUAUUGAUUUCUCCCUUCUGACGAACCAUGAUGUCAUUAAUUUGGUGUCAUGGGAAAUCAGGACUGUUACUUUGAAAAAUUAGAGUGUUUAAAGCAGGCUCACGCUUGAAUACAUUAGCAUGGAAUAAUGAAAUAGGACGUUUUGAUUCUAUUUUGUUGGUUUCUAGGAUCGACGUAAUGAUUAAUAGGGAUAGUUGGGGGCAUUAGUAUUCAAUUGUCAGAGGUGAAAUUCUUGGAUUUAUUGAAGACUAACUACUGCGAAAGCAUUUGCCAAGGAUGUUUUCAUUAAUCAAGAACGAAAGUUAGGGGAUCGAAGACGAUCAGAUACCGUCGUAAU
rnacentral:rRNA from 1 species